AUGAGGCAGACCAUGGGUUCUCAUUGUAAUAGUGUAGAAUGUUGGUUAACUGUGGACUCCCUAGCUUUGUCUCAA
rnacentral:pre_miRNA from 1 species